rnacentral:lncRNA from 1 species
GUUCGGCUGACUGCUAGCCUACCGCUCUUACCAUUUUUUCCCAAGACAGAGGCAUGGUAUAACCUGAUCUGUAAUGAGGUGGCCCAGGAGGGAUGGGCCCAGUCGGCCUUGACAGCUUUCAAAGCUUUCCCUUCAAGGCUAUGGCUCAAGUGUGCCAGGGGAAGAUUGUCGACACCUCCGUUUUCCCACAGAGGCUAGCGGAAGCCAUGCAGGGCUGCCAUUAGACUCCCUGAGCUGCGGUUAAAUUACUUGAGGAGCGGUGCCCACUCCAGAAGCGGAUGCACUUAGACUUCCGUUUGUUUCCUCAAAUCCGGUCACGGGAUUUGUGUCUUCCUCGGAGAGGCAUCCAGAUCUGUUACUUCCAGUUCACCGCUCUCGCAGCACCGUUUCAAAUGCGCUUUGGGGCGAAUGUAGAUUCUUGCAUUAAUUUUAUAUUGUGAGCGACAACUAUGAGCCAGGCUCUGAGCUAAAUGCUAGGAAUGAGAAUACACCCAGCCUUGCAAGAGCAUUUUAAUUGUUGUCAACUGAACACAAAAGUGAAGGUUCCUGAAAUGAGGAAAUCAAAUUGUGAACAGAGAAGAAAACAUCAAAGAAGAAAAAUUCUUCACAGAGCUGCUUUUUGGACUUCCGUUGUUUUAACUAAUUAGCCAACCACUGUUAAAAGACAUUCAUUUUGGAAAACUUAUUUAUUUUGGUCUGCCACAUUUAUUUGCUUAGUGUCACUCUUACGUACAUGGAUUACUGGUUAAUGAAGUCUAGAACAGCCAUAUUCAGCG